UCCUUGCAGACAAGGCUUCCACUACAGGCCUCUUGCUUCUCUGACGCACAAAGAAUGUCUGGCUUGAUAACCAUUUAUUCAGUGAUUAUAGGAUUAACUGCAACCUGCAGCAGAGGUCGGUGUCUUGUGCCAAAACCACAGAAUAAUCUCCCAGCGAGGGAACAGCAAGGCUGACUUGCUGUGGGCCUAAAAGGCAGAAGCCAGAGGCUCACUUUGCAGGGAAAGAAUGUUGUCAGUGAAGACGAUGACUCUGAAACAGAAAUAACAACAUCUCCUCUAAGUGCAAAAUGGGCUGCAUCUUCUUCCACAGAGCCAGCCGACUCACCUGUUGUCAGGCACUCUUCAGUUCGAGGACAGGAGGACCAUUGCUCUAGGCCUGUGUCCGGAGUCACAUCCAGAAAAUAUGUAGCAGCUGGGCCCAGAGGCUCUUUGCAUGGG